rnacentral:rRNA from 1 species
UACGUAGGGGGCUAGCGUUGUCCGGAUUUAUUGGGCGUAAAGGGCCAGUAGGCGGCCAACUAAGUCGGAUGUGAAAUCCCCAGGCUCAACUUGGGAACUGCAUCCGAUACUGGAUGGCUUGAAUCCGGGAGAGGGAUGCGGAAUUCCAGGUGUAGCGGUGAAAUGCGUAGAUAUCUGGAGGAACACCGGUGGCGAAGGCGGCAUCCUGGACCGGCAUUGACGCUAAAGCGCGAAAGCCAGGGGAGCAAACGGG